UACAUGGGGUGCAAACGUUGCUCGGAAUUAUUGGGCGUAAAGCGCACGUAGGUGGUCUGUUAUGUCAGAUGUGAAAGCCCCCGGCUCAACCGGGGAACGGGCGCCGAUACGACCGCCCUGGAGGGACGUAGGGGGACCUGGAACUUCCGGUGGAGCGGUGAAAUGCGUUGAGAUCGGAAGGAACGCCCGUGGCGAAAGCGAGGUCCUGGACGUCUGCUGACGCUGAGACGCGAAAGCCAGGGGAGCGAACGGG
rnacentral:rRNA from 1 species